AACCAGAGAAGGAUGCAGAGACAAAACCUAAAUCACACAGUCUCCUUCCCCAUUUUACAGAGGAAACAAACUGAGGGGGCGGGGGCAGAAGUUCACAGUAAGUUAGUGGAAGAGCCAGGGCUAGGAGGCAGAUCUCAGAUACACCCCACCCCUCCCCUGGACAACCAUUUGCCGGAAAUGGCUGGCUAAUGAGGGCAUCCCCAGCCUCAUGUUAACUGAGAAGAAAGGUCUGAGGCCAGGCAGCUCCUGCAGAUUAGCAGGCUGGGAGUCAGUAAGGCUGGAAGUCAACCUAUUUGUGGCCAUUUUACUGAUAAAUUGGAGUCUCUACUUGGGUCUCAAAGAGAACUAAAGACAAAAGCCUGUGGUUUCAGGAUGACACUCUGGUAACCUAAAAGGCUAAAUCGCAAAGGGGUCUUAAGGGCUGGGAUGAAAAGUAGAACUUUUAAGCUCUUCCUUUGACCUUGGCCAAGGUUGUUCCCUCUAGCCUCACUUGUCCUGUUCAUUCAAUGGGAGAAUCUCACUUAAGGCCCAGGGAACAAAAGAAAGGAACAGGUAGAAGGGCACCCCUCAGCCUGGUGACCCUAGGCGGAGCUGAGCUUUAGACAGGCGGGGCCUUAGGAAGGGAGCGCAGAAAGUUGCCAGGUGGCUUGGCUGGCUGCGUUAAGCUAAAGAUGGGUUGCAACAGGGCGGGGUGGGGCGGCGGACCGAGGACCUAGAUUCGCUUUUCCGGGCUCUGCGUCCGCUAGGAGAAUCGGUCGCCUGCAGCCAAGGGCCUGCACGCCUCCUCCUUUUCUCAGACUUCUCUGGCCUCGACCCCCCUUCUCACACUCCCAACGCCCAAGGACAACUUGCCACUCGCUUCAGACGACCGGGGCUUUUCUGUUUCCCAGACUCUGCUUUCUCCCCUACUUCUUUUGUCUACUUCUACAUUUGGCGGUUUCUCGAGGAAGCGUUCCUCCAUCUGCUUCUGCUUCUCUCUCGUCUGCUCUCUCUCACUCGCUCCCCUCCGCCCCCCCCAAACACCCACUCUUUCUCCCUCUCUCUGUCUCUCUUCUAUCUGCCGGCCAUCUCGGCGCCUUUUCUCCGGCUCUGGCCUUGCAAAAUCGCGCAAGGCCCUCUCUGGGAACCGCGGCGCGGUGAUCCGAUGGCGUCCCAGGGCGGGGGCAGGUGAGAUAGGCGGAGCCCUGCCCGGGCGGACGCGGAGGAAGGUGGCGUCCGCGCGAAUCGGCCGCCCGGGCCCUGUCCUCCCCAUCCACCCCCGGCUCGCCGGCGCCAGGGGCACAGAGGACGCAUGAGUCCCUUUGCGCCCCUGGAGCUGUCGGCACCGCCGCCGCCCCAGACAGAGACCUUGGGCCAGGAGGCCUCACAGGGGCGGGGCGGGGGGCGGCGACCCGGAGCCGCCUAGCUCCUGGCCCUCGGCGCCGUCCCCUCGGUCUCCAGGCUCCGUCGCGCCCAAAGCCCCAGGUCCCUGCAGGCGAUGCAGACGCGCGAAGGACAGCGCGGAUCGGAGAGAGGGCGCCAAAGGCGACGCGCCGGCCGGCAACUCCAGUGCCAAGCCCAGUGAGUCUGCAAGAACCGGUCCCUUCACCGGGCGCGGGACGUAGAGCUGUGCGAGGAUCUCGUUCAGCGCGGACUCAACGCCAGGGCGCCGCCUAGAGGUCGGCUGCAGCCUCAGCCUCACCCGCCUGCAACCAGAGCCGCUUCCCCAGCGGAGGCCAGAAAAUGGGCGGGGGAUUUCCAGCCUGGGUCUCAGGCGCCGUUUGUGGCACCUCUGACUUAUCUGAGACUCCCUCCACACCCCUCAAUAAUGAACCCUAGGAAGUAAGACGAGCCAGGAAGGCAGAAACAUUUAUUCUCGAGACUCACUAAACGAAGGGGGUGUCAUUGUUACCCUCUUUGAGGAUCCUGUGUUCCGCAUGUUGUCUAUUCUGCCUCCUCUCACCACCCAAGUUGUCCAGCCCCCACCAACUAUGCUAGAAUUCUGCUUUAACUUCAAGGAGGGAAGGGAAUAGGGAAAAGUUUUCCUAAAUCUUACAGUAUGGUCAUCUGCAUUUUCAAUUUUCUGAAUAAUUUGGUGAUCAACAUACUUUGGGAAUGUAUUCAGAAAACGCUUGAGGGUGAAAAGAAACAUUGCCUAAAUGGCUUCUAUUCACUAAGUGACCGUCAGCUCAAACAGGGUAUGAGUGACAUUCAGGAGGGUGCUUGUUGACACCAGCGCCCCUGUUGGUGGUUGUCUGUGCUAAGUAUUUGGAAAUUAACUCUUCUGGGGCCAGGUGACCUCAGAAUAAGAAGGCUGGUUGGCAUCUUUAGGAAUGUGUUUGAUGUGUCAUUCAACCCCAUGAAGAUAGUUUAAUUUUUAAAACUGGGCUUCAUGGCCUGGGUUCUGGGGAUAGGGUAGGUGGAAGAAAAACUUGUGUGUGCACGGUACAUCAUUAUAAGCCUGUGCUUCCGGGUGAUCCAGGGUCUAGGACUUUAAAACGGAUUCAGUCCCCUUUCCUCAGCCCAGGAAGCAAUGGAGAACCAGAUCAGCAAUGAGCAGGGAGCCAGCACACUGACCUGCCCCCAUGGCAGGCCCCUAGAGUGGGGUAGGGGGCAGUAAUAGCAGUCUUGAAUGGUGUGGAAACUGCUGGCCCCCCCAGUCCUGCCCACCGCCCAUUGCUAACAGCUCUCAGAAGCAAAUCUUGAUAGAAGGGGUGACUGCCAGUGGCUGCCAUCACAGUAUUUUUAAUAAAAAUAUAGCACAACAAAGAGCAAAGUGAGGGAGUUAGGGCACAUAAUGAGAAGGGGAGCCAGAGCUACCCCCACCCCCCACCAUGCAGAGCUUGGAAUGAAAUUGGGAUGAAAACAAGCUACUUCCCGUCCUCUAGCUGUGAACGAAAUCCCUCCUCAUUCUUGGUAAAAAGAAGGGACAGAGGGCACUGCCCCCACUCUCCACUGGCUGGGGGCAGAGUGGUUCUGCUUGCAGCAGAGUUAGUCUUACAGAAAAUUUGGAAACUGUAGACUAGCUAAGUAUUUUCCCUGCACAUUCCAAUUUUUAUCAAUUUUUUAAAAUCCCCAGCAGUGUUUAGGUGCCCUUUCUUGGGGGUGGGGGAGGAGGCAUGGAGUUGGCAUGGCAUAGCACCGCACCUGUGUGUGUUUGUGAAAGGAGGGUGCUCUCAGUGCACCAAUCCCCCACCUGGGUCUGCAGCUGGGCCUCAGUCCUGUCCCAGGCCCUGCCUGAACCUGAGCACAUCUUAGCCCUCCAGGGCCUCUGUGACCUGAAUUCUUGUGUGUGUGUGUGUGUGUGUGUGUAACUGAGCAUGAUUGAAUUCCUUUGCUCUCCCCCCAGAAGUGCACCCAACCAGGCCCCUCCAGCAGACAGUGAGCAGGAAUUUAAUAACUUCACUCCCAGCUAUCUGGAGCCCAAAACCAAAAGAGAUUUUUCUUAGUUUUGGUUCACAAUGGCCUAAUAACAAUUCCAAACCUGGAUUCCAGAGUUUUGUGAAAUCCAGUGGUCCAGAACAGAAAAAAAAAUAUAUGGAGAUGGUAGUGGA